AAUUUGAAAACAUAUAAUCAGAAACUAUAAUUUUAUUUAUUUAUUUAUUUUUGUUUUAUUUAUUUAUUUAUAUUUAUAUAUCUAGUGUAUUAAAGUAUUUUUACCUAUUAAAUGAAACAUUUUAGUCAUUUUUCUCUUUAGAAUGUAUUUUUGUGAUAAAACUUGAAAAUAAUAUAUUUAGGAGAAUUGUCCAUUAGUCUAAUAGGAUAAUGUUAUCAAUUUUUUAUUCUAAAAAAAUAAUUUUUACUAUAUUUUAUUAUAAAUGUACGGAAAAAGAUAAUAGAUAUGAAAAUAAAUAUAUUAUAAUAUUUAUUUUCAAAAUAAUUAAAUAAUAUUAUAAAUUUUAUUAAAUUGAAAUCUGGUAAAGCGGAAGCAAACACAUAUUUUUUUGUAACUGGGCUUUCAUAUCAAGUAGCGAAAAGAAAAAUGUUUACGAGCCAUAAAGCCUUAGUUAAAGGGCUUUGCCCAAUUUUAAACACUCAUAACCUUUUCAAAGUAAUGGAGCCUUUGUAAGCCCAGAUAAAGAGACGAAGUUGAUCAUCAAGCGAAGGGAGAGAGACAGAGAAGGAUCCAGAGCUUCGAUCAUGCAUGGCGGAUCCAAAACUGCAUCGCCACUGAGCACAGGGAUGGAUGAGAGUGGCGCAGGGUCUGGAUCUUGUUUCCUAGUUGGCGAUCAAUUAGAGAGAAAAUAGUAUCAAUUGACCGAAAGAUGUUGGAGUGGAGCCUCUGGUUCCUUUCAUUCCAGAGCCAGUAGAUGGUCGAUUGCCAAGCCCAUAGAGUGACAAUCCUUUGAUGCCUGAGAAGUUUUUGCCGAGGAAGAGUUUUCAUCUGGUUUAGUGUUGAAAUCCAGUCCGAUAGAUCACACCUUCGAGCAAUUAGCGUCUAGAGAUCAAAACUGAAAGGGCAUUCCAUGAAUAGAUGAUUCCUAGACUCGUCCGAAGAGUUACUGAGGAAACUGAUUGAGGGAAUUUGAAGCCCCCUCCUGACCCGCCACAACAUCUUUGAGAAUGUCAUUAUAGUUUCCAUGAUCUUGACUUGUUUCUACCACAGACCUCUUCUUCCAACUUGAAAGGGUCCCCGUUCAUACUCAAAGGAGAUCUUAAGAGGCCGAAAAAGAUGUUUGAGACAUGGAAAAAGGAUCAUGAAGGAAGAUUGAGGGCAGGACACAAAACUAUACUUAGCAGACUAGGGAGUGAAGACAUUGGUGGUUCGGUAGAGACGAAGUGGUUGAAGAAGUUAAGGAGCACCAUGUAUAGUUGUAUACUGACAUGUUUCUUUUCUCGAGAUGCACAUCUUUUUUUUUAACACGUUUUGUGUCAUUUGAGAUUUUGGUUUUGUUACUGAGAAAGAUGAGAAGGCUUCGUUGUACUGAAAAUGACUCUUGUUACGCAUGUCCAUCCAAAUUCUAAUGCGAAUUCAAUAAAUAUUUCCAGAUCAA